rnacentral:rRNA from 1 species
GUGGGGAAUUUUGGACAAUGGGGGCAACCCUGAUCCAGCAAUGCCGCGUGCAGGAAGAAGGCCUUCGGGUUGUAAACUGCUUUUGUACGGAACGAAACGGUCCUGGUUAAUACCUGGGGCUAAUGACGGUACCGUAAGAAUAAGCACCGGCUAACUACGUGCCAGCAGCCGCGGUAAUACGUAGGGUGCAAGCGUUAAUCGGAAUUACUGGGCGUAAAGCGUGCGCAGGCGGUUUUGUAAGACAGGCGUGAAAUCCCCGGGCUCAACCUGGGAAUGGCGCUUGUGACUGGAAGGCUGGAGUGCGGCAGAGGGGGAUGGAAUUCCGCGUGUAGCAGUGAAAUGCGUAGAUAUGCGGAGGAACACCGAUGGCGAAGGCAAUCCCCUGGGCCUGCACUGACGCUCAUGCACGAAAGCGUGGGGAGCAAACAGGAUUAGAAACCCCUGUAGUCC